UAUUGCACACGUCCCGGCCUGA
rnacentral:miRNA from 1 species